rnacentral:tRNA from 1 species
AGAGAAUUGACAGAGUGGUUUAAUGUGCCGGCCUUGAGUACUGGUAUGGGGUUCUUCCCAUCAUGGGUUCGAAUCCCAUAUUCUCUG